UGUGUGCUGCAAUUCUGUUGGGAAAAAGAACCUGAUUAUCUUCCAAAAUGUCUGACUCUAUUUUUUGUACAUGUUUUUUACUCUAUGGCAGGGUUAUGGAUUCUUCCCGAAUGUCGUCUGGCAACAGUGACAAGAUGGGAAAUGACCCCGAUGAACUGACAGAAGUAAUCUGUGAUGGAACCACCAACAAAAG